CCGUCUGCACGCUGCAGGGUACGCUAAAAAUCACCGCCACGCUCUAUAAAUACGGUUUCACCUUGACAUUCACACUACACUUCACCCUAGCGGACUCGCAUUUGAAUCUCGAACACGUUUAAUUUAUUAUGCGUUUAUUAUCUCUACUUAGUUGUACAAGGUAUUUAUUUAUAAAUUGUUUUUUCCGAUACCAUUCUAUAGUUACCACGUUAGUUGUUAUAAGGUCCCGUGGAUACUGCUUUCCCGUAAGAAACACGGAGGUUUCGGAGAGCCACGGGAAAACAUGGUGUGACGGGGAUACACAGCACAGACAGCUUUUUAUAUUAUACAGUUGUCGUUUAUUUCGACUACUCGAAAAAGGAGAAAAAAAAACAAAGUCGUCGUCGUCGAACGUCAAUAAUUGCUGUCGGGCGAGACGGAUGGUAUACGUACGUCGUAUUUUUCCGAGAAUAGAGUCGAGAAGAAUGUGACGUGCAGUAUGACGUGCCCGGGUUUAAUUUUCGUAGGUUGUGAGACGCUGCUCUCGAUCAACUGACAUCACGAAUAAAAUUCUGUGGGCGUCGAAAUUUGUACACAAAAAAUUUCCCGAAAUAUCCGUUGAUAUUUUAGAGUAUUUGGCGUUGUUCUUGUCAAAAAUAAAGUACACAAUCGUUAACGUAAUUUGUUGUCGUGUUAGUAUAGUGAAAAAACAAGUUUGGCAUAGGUUUGUUGU